rnacentral:lncRNA from 1 species
UCGACUCGGGAAUCGGGACCGAUGUCUGCUUGGAUCAUGAGUGGAUCCUCGUGAGGUUGCAGAAUAUCGUCCAGGUCCUCUUCCGAGAAGUAUAUUGACUUCUCUUCGCAGACCCGUUUUCCGUCGUCUCGAGGUGUUGAUUAUGACAUCAGCACCUUCCGGGUGUAUCCCCUAUUCUGGCCAACAGAACCACCACCAAAUAUCAUAUUGAUGGUCUUCCAUUGGCGGUUCUCGCUACUGUCGCUAUCUGACAAAGAAGAGCGUGGAUGUUUU